AUUUAAAUAGUUUAAUAAAAAAUAUUAGUUUGUGGAACUAAAGAUACAAGAUUUUGUUUUAAAUU
rnacentral:tRNA from 1 species